rnacentral:rRNA from 1 species
GGGUUGUGAGGUUAAGCGAAUAAGCGUACACGGUGGAUGCCCUGGCAGUCAGAGGCGAUGAAGGACGUGCUAAUCUGCGAAAAGCGCCGGUAAGGUGAUAUGAACCGAUACAGCCGGCGAUGUCCGAAUGGGGAAACCCGGUGCACUCAGUGCAUCAUCGCAACAUGAAUACAUAGUGUUGCGAGGCGAACCGGGGGAACUGAAACAUCUAAGUACCCCGAGGAAAAGAAAUCAACCGAGAUUCCCCCAGUAGCGGCGAGCGAACGGGGAGCAGCCCUGAACCAUCAUCAGUGUGUGUGUUAGUGGAAGCGUCCGGAAUGGCGCACGAUACAGGGUGAAAGUCCCGUACAUGAAAAUGCACAUACUGUGAGUUCGAAGAGUAGGGCGGGACACGUGGUAUCCUGUCUGAAUAUGGGGGGACCAUCCUCCAAGGCUAAAUACUCCUGACUGACCGAUAGUGAACCAGUACCGUGAGGGAAAGGCGAAAAGAACCCCGGCGAGGGGAGUGAAAAGAACCUGAAACCGUGUACGUACAAGCAGUGGGAGCACCCUUUGGGGUGUGACUGCGUACCUUUUGUAUAAUGGGUCAGCGACUUAUAUUCUGUAGCAAGGUUAACCGUAUAGGGGAGCCGCAGGGAAACCGAGUCUUAACUGGGCGUUAAGUUGCAGGGUAUAGACCCGAAACCCGGUGAUCUAGCCAUGGGCAGGUUGAAGGUUGGGUAACACUAACUGGAGGACCGAACCGACUAAUGUUGAAAAAUUAGCGGAUGACCUGUGGCUGGGGGUGAAAGGCCAAUCAAACCGGGAGAUAGCUGGUUCUCCCCGAAAGCUAUUUAGGUAGCGCCUCGUGAACUCAUCUCCGGGGGUAGAGCACUGUUUCGGCUAGGGGGCCAUCCCGGCUUACCAACCCGAUGCAAACUGCGAAUACCGGAGAAUGUUAUCACGGGAGACACACGGCGGGUGCUAACGUCCGUCGUGAAGAGGGAAACAACCCAGACCGCCAGCUAAGGUCCCAAAGUCAUGGUUAAGUGGGAAACGAUGUGGGAAGGCUCAGACAGCCAGGAUGUUGGCUUAGAAGCAGCCAUCAUUUAAAGAAAGCGUAAUAGCUCACUGGUCGAGUCGGCCUGCGCGGAAGAUGUAACGGGGCUAAACCAUGCACCGAAGCUGCGGCAGCGACACUAUGUGUUGUUGGGUAGGGGAGCGUUCUGUAAGCCGUUGAAGGUGGACUGUGAGGUCUGCUGGAGGUAUCAGAAGUGCGAAUGCUGACAUAAGUAACGAUAAAGCGGGUGAAAAGCCCGCUCGCCGGAAGACCAAGGGUUCCUGUCCAACGUUAAUCGGGGCAGGGUGAGUCGACCCCUAAGGCGAGGCUGAAAAGCGUAGUCGAUGGGAAACAGGUUAAUAUUCCUGUACUUGGUGUUACUGCGAAGGGGGGACGGAGAAGGCUAUGUCAUCCGGGCGACGGUUGUCCCGGUUUAAGCGUGUAGGCUGAGAUUCCAGGCAAAUCCGGAAUCUCUUAAGGCUGAGGCGUGAUGACGAGGUGCUACGGCACUGAAGUGACAAAUGCCCUGCUUCCGGGAAAAGCCUCUAAGCUCCAGGUAACACGAAAUCGUACCCCAAACCGACACAGGUGGUCAGGUAGAGAAUACCAAGGCGCUUGAGAGAACUCGGGUGAAGGAACUAGGCAAAAUGGUGCCGUAACUUCGGGAGAAGGCACGCUGGCGCGUAGGUGAAGGGACUUGCUCCCGGAGCUGAAGCCAGUCGAAGAUACCAGCUGGCUGCAACUGUUUAUUAAAAACACAGCACUGUGCAAACACGAAAGUGGACGUAUACGGUGUGACGCCUGCCCGGUGCCGGAAGGUUAAUUGAUGGGGUUAUCGCUCUGCGAGAAGCUCCUGAUCGAAGCCCCGGUAAACGGCGGCCGUAACUAUAACGGUCCUAAGGUAGCGAAAUUCCUUGUCGGGUAAGUUCCGACCUGCACGAAUGGCGUAAUGAUGGCCAGGCUGUCUCCACCCGAGACUCAGUGAAAUUGAAAUCGCUGUGAAGAUGCAGUGUACCCGCGGCAAGACGGAAAGACCCCGUGAACCUUUACUAUAGCUUGACACUGAAUAUUGAGCCUUGAUGUGCAGGAUAGGUGGGAGGCACUGAAGUACGGACGCCAGUUCGUACGGAGCCAUCCUUGAAAUACCACCCUUUAAUGUUUGAUAUUCUAACGUGGACCCGUUAUCCGGGUUGCGGACAGUGUCUGGUGGGUAGUUUGACUGGGGCGGUCUCCUCCCAAAGAGUAACGGAGGAGCACGAAGGUUAGCUAAUCACGGUCGGACAUCGUGAGGUUAGUGCAAAGGCAUAAGCUAGCUUGACUGCGAGAGUGACGGUUCGAGCAGGUGCGAAAGCAGGUCUUAGUGAUCCGGUGGUUCUGAAUGGAAGGGCCAUCGCUCAACGGAUAAAAGGUACUCCGGGGAUAACAGGCUGAUACCGCCCAAGAGUUCAUAUCGACGGCGGUGUUUGGCACCUCGAUGUCGGCUCAUCACAUCCUGGGGCUGAAGUAGGUCCCAAGGGUACGGCUGUUCGCCGUUUAAAGUGGUACGCGAGCUGGGUUUAGAACGUCGUGAGACAGUUCGGUCCCUAUCUGCCGUGGGCGCUGGAGAAUUGAGGGGGGUUGCUCCUAGUACGAGAGGACCGGAGUGAACGCACCACUGGUGUUCGGGUUGUCAUGCCAAUGGCAUUGCCCGGUAGCUAAGUGCGGAAAAGAUAAGUGCUGAAAGCAUCUAAGCACGAAACUUGCCCCGAGAUGAGUUCUCCCUGACCCUUUAAGGGUCCUGAAGGGACGUUGAAGACGACGACGUUGAUAGGCCGGAUGUGUAAGUGCAGCGAUGCAUUGAGCUAACCGGUACUAAUGACCCGUGAGGCUUAACCUUACAACGCCAGAGGCGUUUUG